CCUACGGGAGGCAGCAGUAGGGAAUCUUCGGCAAUGGACGGAAGUCUGACCGAGCAACGCCGCGUGAGUGAAGAAGGUUUUCGGAUCGUAAAGCUCUGUUGUAAGAGAAGAACGAGUGUGAGAGUGGAAAGUUCACACUGUGACGGUAUCUUACCAGAAAGGGACGGCUAACUACGUGCCAGCAGCCGCGGUAAUACGUAGGUCCCGAGCGUUGUCCGGAUUUAUUGGGCGUAAAGCGAGCGCAGGCGGUUAGAUAAGUCUGAAGUUAAAGGCUGUGGCUUAACCAUAGUACGCUUUGGAAACUGUUUAACUUGAGGGCAAGAGGGGAGAGUGGAAUUCCAUGUGUAGCGGUGAAAUGCGUAGAUAUAUGGAGGAACACCGGUGGCGAAAGCGGCUCUCUGGCUUGUAACUGACGCUGAGGCUCGAAAGCGUGGGGAGCAAACAGGAUUAGAUACCCCAGUAGUC
rnacentral:rRNA from 1 species